ACUAUCGUUAACUGAAUACAUAGGUUAACGAGGCGAACCGGGGGAACUGAAACAUCUAAGUACCCCGAGGAAAAGAAAUCAACCGAGAUUCCCCCAGUAGCGGCGAGCGAACGGGGAGCAGCCCAGAGUCUGAAUCAGCUUGUGUGUUAGUGGAACGGUCUGGAAAGUCCGACGGUACAGGGUGAUAGUCCCGUACACCAAAAUGCACAGGUUGUGAACUCGAAGAGUAGGGCGGGACACGUGGUAUCCUGUCUGAAUAUGGGGGGACCAUCCUCCAAGGCUAAAUACUCCUGACUGACCGAUAGUGAACCAGUACCGUGAGGGAAAGGCGAAAAGAACCCCGGCGAGGGGAGUGAAAAAGAACCUGAAACCGUGUACGUACAAGCAGUGGGAGCACCUUCGGGUGUGACUGCGUACCUUUUGUAUAAUGGGUCAGCGACUUAUAUUCUGUAGCAAGGUUAACCGUAUAGGGGAGCCGCAGGGAAACCGAGUCUUAACUGGGCGUUAAGUUGCAGGGUAUAGACCCGAAACCCGGUGAUCUAGCCAUGGGCAGGUUGAAGGUUGGGUAACACUAACUGGAGGACCGAACCGACUAAUGUUGAAAAAUUAGCGGAUGACUUGUGGCUGGGGGUGAAAGGCCAAUCAAACCGGGAGAUAGCUGGUUCUCCCCGAAAGCUAUUUAGGUAGCGCCUCGUGAAUUCAUCUUCGGGGGUAGAGCACUGUUUCGGCUAGGGGGUCAUCCCGACUUACCAACCCGAUGCAAACUACGAAUACCGAAGAAUGUUAUCACGGGAGACACACGGCGGGUGCUAACGUCCGUCGUGAAGAGGGAAACAACCCAGACCGCCAGCUAAGGUCCCAAAGUCAUGGUUAAGUGGGAAACGAUGUGGGAAGGCACAGACAGCCAGGAUGUUGGCUUAGAAGCAGCCAUCAUUUAAAGAAAGCGUAAUAGCUCACUGGUCGAGUCGGCCUGCGCGGAAGAUGUAACGGGGCUAAACCAUGCACCGAAGCUGCGGCAGCGACACUAUGUGUUGUUGGGUAGGGGAGCGUUCUGUAAGCCUGCGAAGGUGNUGCUGGAGGUAUCAGAAGUGCGAAUGCUGACAUAAGUAACGAUAAAGCGGGUGAAAAGCCCGCUCGCCGGAAGACCAAGGGUUCCUGUCCAACGUUAAUCGGGGCAGGGUGAGUCGACCCCUAAGGCGAGGCCGAAAGGCGUAGUCGAUGGGAAACAGGUUAAUAUUCCUGUACUUGGUGUUACUGCGAAGGGGGGACGGAGAAGGCUAUGUUAGCCGGGCGACGGUUGUCCCGGUUUAAGCAUGUAGGCUGGUUAUCCAGGCAAAUCCGGAUAAUCAAGGCUGAGGUGUGAUGACGAGGCACUACGGUGCUGAAGUAACAAAUGCCCUGCUUCCAGGAAAAGCCUCUAAGCAUCAGGUAACAUCAAAUCGUACCCCAAACCGACACAGGUGGUCAGGUAGAGAAUACCAAGGCGCUUGAGAGAACUCGGGUGAAGGAACUAGGCAAAAUGGUGCCGUAACUUCGGGAGAAGGCACGCUGGUGUGUAGGUGAAGUCCCUGCGGAUGGAGCUGAGACCAGUCGAAGAUACCAGCUGGCUGCAACUGUUUAUUAAAAACACAGCACUGUGCAAACACGAAAGUGGACGUAUACGGUGUGACGCCUGCCCGGUGCCGGAAGGUUAAUUGAUGGGGUUAUCCGUAAGGAGAAGCUCUUGAUCGAAGCCCCGGUAAACGGCGGCCGUAACUAUAACGGUCCUAAGGUAGCGAAAUUCCUUGUCGGGUAAGUUCCGACCUGCACGAAUGGCGUAAUGAUGGCCAGGCUGUCUCCACCCGAGACUCAGUGAAAUUGAACUCGCUGUGAAGAUGCAGUGUACCCGCGGCAAGACGGAAAGACCCCGUGAACCUUUACUAUAGCUUGACACUGAACAUUGAGCCUUGAUGUGUAGGAUAGGUGGGAGGCUUUGAAGCGUGGACGCCAGUCUGCGUGGAGCCAACCUUGAAAUACCACCCUUUAAUGUUUGAUGUUCUAACGUUGGCCCCUUACCGGGGUUGCGGACAGUGUCUGGUGGGUAGUUUGACUGGGGCGGUCUCCUCCCAAAGCGUAACGGAGGAGCACGAAGGUUAGCUAAUCCUGGUCGGACAUCAGGAGGUUAGUGCAAUGGCAUAAGCUAGCUUGACUGCGAGCGUGACGGCGCGAGCAGGUGCGAAAGCAGGUCAUAGUGAUCCGGUGGUUCUGAAUGGAAGGGCCAUCGCUCAACGGAUAAAAGGUACUCCGGGGAUAACAGGCUGAUACCGCCCAAGAGUUCAUAUCGACGGCGGUGUUUGGCACCUCGAUGUCGGCUCAUCACAUCCUGGGGCUGAAGUAGGUCCCAAGGGUAUGGCUGUUCGCCAUUUAAAGUGGUACGCGAGCUGGGUUUAGAACGUCGUGAGACAGUUCGGUCCCUAUCUGCCGUGGGCGCUGGAGAAUUGAGGGGGGCUGCUCCUAGUACGAGAGGACCGGAGUGGACGCAUCACUGGUGUUCGGGUUGUCAUGCCAAUGGCACUGCCCGGUAGCUAAAUGCGGAAGAGAUAAGUGCUGAAAGCAUCUAAGCACGAAACUUGCCCCGAGAUGAGUUCUCCCUGAGACUUUAAGUCUCCUGAAGGAACGUUGAAGACGACGACGUUGAUAGGCCGGGUGUGUAAGCGCAGCGAUGCGUUGAGCUAACCGGUACUAAUGAACCGUGAGGCUUAACC
rnacentral:rRNA from 1 species